CCCAUAUCAUUUGGACCAUUAUUGAAUUUAUUAUGAUUUUUCAAAGAUUGCAAAAAAAAUGAAAUAAAAAUUGCAUGAAACAAAUGAAUUAAUGGAAAUAUAUGAAAUAAAUUGGAAUUUGAAAUUGGCGCCUCCUUGCUGAAAUGCGGCGUUUCAUUUAGAAACGCCUCAGCCAAUCAGAGCGCAUCAUGGCGCGCGCAUGCAGCCAGUAACAUUCAAA
rnacentral:lncRNA from 1 species